AUGUUUCUCUUCAGAAUUACAAAUAGCAAGUCGUAUUGCCAUUACAUUUUGAGGAAUUACAAGAAAAGGAGUUUAUAUAUCUAUCAUAAGCCUAAGUGUUCCUUAAGAUGCUAUAUCUUAUCAAAAGACCGGCUGCCAAAACAGUUUCAAGCUUGUUCCAGACUUUUAGCCAAUUCUAUGAAAUCUAGCUCUUCCUUCUCGCAUAAUCCGACCUACAAUAGUGCAUAA